AAAAAUAAAAAUAAAAAUAAAUUUGAGUUCUUAAAAUUAAAUAAGAUGAUAUUUAAUGCUCUAACGCUCACACCAGAUAUGAAUCAAAAUGUCUCACGACAUUUUUGGAAUAAAUUUAAAUGAAUAAGUAAAACUUACACUGGCUCAAUUACUGAAUUUACCAUUGAUUGUGCUCGUUCCUUCUCUCUUCUUAUGCGUUGCCCUAGCUUUGCCUUACUUAUCUCUUCAGUUCCAUUUGAAAAUAUAGCUUCCAAUGACUUUGUUUGAGAAGUUGAAUCACUGCCAUUAGGUAACAUUAUAAGUAUCAUUAUUUUAUGUUACAAAUAAUGAAAAUUCUUGUUCAUGUAAUUAAAUAAAAUAAAAAAAUUAUAUUAUCUAUGUGCAAUCCUUAUGCAUUGAUUUCAAAAUAUAAACAGUAGUACAGACAAACUUAAAAUGAAAUUUCAAAAUUUAAAUAAUUGAAACUGUUCUGGAAUGAACAUCAAAUAGAAGUUGAUGUCCUAGAGACUCUGAAACCAAUUUAAUAUCUCAAAGGUUUGUUUAUCAUUAUGACUCUUACAAUACUAAUGGUUUGAUAAAGACUAAUUGUAGAAAUUAAGUUCUCAAAAACUAAUUACAAAAUGUUGGAAAAAAAUAAAAAUAAAAAUAAAUUUGAGUUCUUAAAAUUAAAUAAGAUGAUAUUUAAUGCUCUAACCCUCACACCAGAUAUGAAUCAAAAUGUCUCACGACGUUUUUGGAAUAAAUUUAAAUAAAUAAGUAAAACUUACACUGGCUCAAUUACUGAAUUUAGCAUUGAUUGUGCUCGUUCUUUCUCUCUGCUUAUAUAUGCGUUGCCCUAGCUUUGCCUUACUUAUCUCUUCAGUUCCAUUUGAAAAUAUAGCUUCCAAUGACUUUGUUUGAUAAGUUGAAUCACUUCCAUGUAGGUAACAUUAUAAGCAUCAUUAUUUUAUGUUACAAAUAAUAAAAAUUGUUGUUCAUGUAAUUAAAUAAAAUAAAAAAAUUAUAUUAUCUAUGUGCAAUCCUUAUGCAUUGAUUUGAAAAAACUUACAUAGGUUCAAUUACUGAAUUUAGAAUCGAUUGCACUCGUUCCCUUUCUCUUCUCAAACGGUGUCCUUGUUUUGCCUUACUUAUCUCUUCACUGUUGGUUGAAGAAGUUUUCACACUUUCGACAGGUAUUUUUUUCUUUGUCAUGAUUGUGUUCCAGGUACUACAUAAACAAAACAUAAUGAACAAUUAUUCACAAUUUAAUAACAACAAUAUUAUGGUAUGUAUAAUAUGCAAUUUCUUAUAUGAAGAUGGUACAUAAGCAAACUAAUGUCAAUGGAAAACUUACUGGCAAAUAAAUGGUUAUUAAUGAAUUACUCCCUUGGAAGAUCUCUUUGGCUCAUAAUAUUUUACACAUUCGACUUUUACUCAAUUCGUUGAAAAUGUAAUAAACAUCAGACCUAUUAUCUAACCAUAGCAUGUUUAAUUUUCCAAUAAUUAAAUUGCAGUAUGUGUCAAUAAUAACUAUAUGUAACCAAAAUUUUGUUGGUUAGCCUUCCUGGUUACACCAUUAAAUCAUUCAUCUAAUAUUUCUUUCUCAAGAUGCAACUUAUGCAAUGUGUGGGGAGGGGGAGGGGCUCUCGACAGGCGUCAGACAUCAGGUCACUCUUUUUAGGGAGAGUUUUGCCAUAUUAAAUAGUGUAUGUUAUGAACUUAAUUUAAGGUCUGUCAAGAGUGCAUAAGCUAAAGUCUGAAAAUAUAUGUAGAUUGAACUCUAGAACAUAAGAUAAAUUUAUUACUUCGAUCUUUAUGAUUAAUAACGGGAACAAACAAAGAGCACAUACCUAUUGAGGGAGAGGAAUGAUAAUAAUGAAAUAUCCUCUUUGAUAAUGUUAAAGACCCUUGGAAAAAAUAAACAUAUCAACAUGUUUGACUAUAUUAGCUAGAUUGCUACCACGACACAAACCUUCAUCUUACUCUUCAUUCGUAGAUAAGAUUAGAUUGCAUAAGCUAUGUUAGUGGGUUGGUUCUACAUUUGUUUGGUGUUAUUUUAAGUAUUAACAAAAGAUAAAAAAUUAAUAUUGUGAAGAACCAAAGAAAGAGAGGAAUCAGUUAGUACCAUAUCUUAAGCCCAACCGAUGAUUUAAACUUAAACCCACGUUAACUUAUAAUAACUUAUAUAAAACCAAAAACACUGUGAUCGAGGAAAACCAAGGGUUCAGAUCAGAUUUCAGACUCCAACUUGAAAUCUAGUCAGUCCAGAAAUAAAUUUUAUAUAAGUUUGUCUCCCUUAGUUGAGAUUGCCUUGUCCCUUAGAAAAAGGCAUUCAACAUAAUUGCCUCAUUAAUCUGAUGUAUAUGUAAGCAAUCACUUAAAGAAUAAUAUACUGACUGAUUUUAAAUUAGAGACUCACCCUACAAACAUCACACAAUAAAAAAAUAAAUUUUUGAAUGGGUGGUAUCUGAAAUUAAUAUCACUGUUGUUCUUUUAAUGGGAGGUAUUAUUCAUACCAAUUAAUUUUUUUUUAAUCACGUCAUAAACAAAGAGUAUUCAUAAUUCCGAUUCCAUAAGAAGUAAUAAGAUUCAUUACUUUGAUUUCAUUAGAAAAUUAAGAGAAUGAGUAAGUGGUAAAAGGAGAAGGAAUAGAGAGAUUACCAGUGAAGAGGAGAGUUGUUAGAGCAAUCACCAGUAGCCAAAUUGAACAGAGAAGAAAACCUGAAGAAGACAAUUUAAUAUUAUAUGUAAGCAGCCACAUGCCUAUGUAAGAUUUUCUGUAUGAUAGUAAGAAAGUGGUAUAAAGAGAAGAAAAUAAAGAGAAUAAGGAAAAAGGAUUACGUUUAAGAGACAGGUUUUGAGAUCACAAUAUCAAGUAAGCUUUGGGUUAUAUACCUGAUUCGUUUCCCACCCAAGAGUUUCAAUAUUAGGAGAGUUCCUCAAUAGUUCCACCAACAGCUGAACAUUAGAAAAGUGCUCGCAAUUCCAAUUUGUAAGCUUUAAAUACUUCAGAUUGUAGUAUUCAAAAAGUUACACUAUGAGGUGAUCCUGCGACUUUGGUUUUGUCUGUGAGGAAAAAAAUAAGAUAAAACGAAUUAGAAAAUGCUCCAUAGAUAGCAGAAGUUUCUUUCGAGAAAAAUUUGAUAACAUGGAACUCAACAGCAUGGUCUUUUCCUAUGCACUACAUUCAAUCUUUUUGCAAGCACUACAUUCAAUCUUUUCCUAAGGCUUGAAGCAUGUUUGGCUUAACACCCUCCCUCAAGUUAAACAUGAGUGGAUGAAUGGUUAACUUGUCUCUCAGGUGCUGAAAUCUUGGUGAGCUUAAUCCCUUAGUAAAAAUGUCAGCCAACUGAUCCUUGGUAGAGAUGAACUUGACAUCAAGCUAAUUGUCAUUGUGGUGUUAUUUUAAAAGUGCUACGUUGUGAGGAAACUUGUUGUCAAACAAAUAGCUGCCAAGUGAGAGUGAUGCAUUUCCUUGACCCAAAGGCUCAUAUGCGAAAAAAUUGGAGGUAAGCAUUUUUUUAAAAAUUAGUCAUUGAUGGUUGUGGUGUUCAAACCUAGAACUCUGGUUUAUUCAAAUACCACAAUUUCAUAUGUGGUGUCCAACUACUAUAUCUGGACGACGGGAAAUUAACUACUCCCAAAAACCAAAAAUACCACAAUUUCAUCUCAGAAACCUGAUUCAUUCAAAUAAAUAGGCAGUUCAUCAAGAAUGUUAGAUAUGCAACAUUUUCCUUGUACUUUUUCACUUACUUUAAGAAAUUUAAAACUUCAUUUGGCCUCAAGGCAGCACUUCCAAAACAUGACAACUCCACUGCCUGUGAAAACUAUAUACCAAACAAUUAAUAAUAUAUGUUGUCUUAUACAAAUCUACAAAUAUUAAUAAGGAUUUGUUUUUCAAGGUUUGACAGUUGUUUAUUAUUCACAAUUAAGGGGAGACAAUACCAAAGUUAGUAGUCAUUAAACACCUCCAUCUAAGUAAGAAGAAUCGUUGACAGUUGUUUAUUAUGCCUUCUAAAAGCAUAUUAUUCCUCUUUAAAUAAAGCUUCCAACUGACACAUAUCUAUCUAUGUAAACAGACUUUUUUUUUCCAGUGUAUACCAGUGCAUGUAGAGUGUAGACACUUACCUAUUUUUCCAUAUAAUGGCAGAAUAUGCAGGUGUAUCAUACAUGUAUAUUAAAUAGUAAAUACCCUGCUAUUCCCGCAAGAAGAGAAUGCAUGAUAUUAAAAUCAAUGAACAUUAUAAUUAAUACAAAUGAACAUAAUUUUGCUGAGUUAAAUUCAAGUUUCUUGGAAAAACCCAAAUUGAGUUUUCAGAACAGAUUUGGUUUUAAAAGUUGGUUGUAUCGUCAAUAUCCAAAUUAUCCUCAGAUGUCAUUAACAUCAGAUAGCAGCUGAGAAAAUUCGGUAGACUAAGAAAAGAAAUGUAUUAAAAUAUAUUCCUAAAAUUAAUAAUUAUGUUAGAAAUGUGAGAGAAAAUCAGAAUAUUUAGUAAUAAUUAAGAACAAUUAUGUUAAUAUUACUGUGGAUUAUCCUGAAGCUCUUUACCAGAAUUCUUACUGAUCUUGGUCUGGAUCUCUAGAAACUUAAUGUAAUGUGGGAAAUGUGACAAUCUAGCACAGGAACCUACCAUACAAUUUUUUCUGCCUUUCUUCAACUAAUAGCCUAGAUUGUAUGACUCUCUCUUUCUCAAUUAUCUGUGUUUUCUGAAUUUACCAACUAUCGCUGUUUGCAUCCAACAAAAUCCACAAAUCCAACAAAACUCAAGACACGUUUUCUAUAGACAGUUUGUACAUCAUGGCAAGAGAAGUAAAGUUAGAUAUAUAAGGGUAAUUACCUGAUGAUUAUAUCAACACGACAAGGCUUGGUGGACUUCAAUGGAGAUACCUCUGAAGAAAUAAAGCUAAAAGUUAGCAUAGUUAUUCAUAGGCGAAAUUGUAUAUAAGUAUUGAAAGAAUUGACACAACGAGUGGAACAUAUCUACUCAGAACCCACUGUUGAAUUCUAGAUGAAUGGACCUCAUAAAAAUCUACUGAUGAAUGAUGAGUACACUUUUAUAGGAAUACUACUGGGCCACUACAUUAACUGGUUUUUUGUUCAUACAUCAAUCAAGAAAUUGAUUACUUAUGAUAUACAAAGUUGAGAAUACUUCCUGAUAAAUAGCUCUUGUUAUUUUAAAAGGUUUACAAUCACCUUUUUACCACUUCCGAAUUUCACAACCAUGACCAUUAUAAGUGAGUCUUUCUAACUUUAAUAAAAAUGGUCCAAUAGUCUUACCAACUAAACAAAAUUGUCGCAUUCAUAAAGAGUUCGACUCAAAACUCACUCGAAUGGAUUAACUGAAUUUAGUCAUACAAAAAGGGUGACUAAUUAGUCAAAUCCAUACAAAAGGAUCCAUCUUGUAUUUCAAUUGGGAAUUGUGGAAUUCAAGGAUCAUUAAAAAUAUGAAGAAAUUUGAAAUGAAACCAUUUCAUAUAAUCAACCGAUCAGAAACCAAUCAAUAAUAGCAAAUUAAACAGGAAUUUCUUACCUGGUCAUCUAUUUCAUCAGAGAUGUAA
rnacentral:lncRNA from 1 species